UACAGAGGGGGCAAGCGUUGUUCGGAAUUACUGGGCGUAAAGGGCGCGUAGGCGGCCUUCUAAGUCGAACGUGAAAUCCCCGGGCUCAACCCGGGAACUGCGUCCGAUACUGGAAGGCUUGAAUCCGGGAGAGGGAUGUGGAAUUCCAGGUGUAGCGGUGAAAUGCGUAGAUAUCAGGAGGAACACCGGUGGCGAAGGCGGAUCUCUGGGCAUGACCUGACGCUGAGGAGCGAAAGUGUGGGGAGCGAACAGG
rnacentral:rRNA from 1 species